CUAUUUCUCCCCUCAAAAACAUCUCAACGAGGAGAGGUGGGUGCCUUGGAGGCCUGGCUGCAGGGGGGUUAAAUAGGGGGAACCCCCGCCGGCCCAGGCGGCGGUAGGGGUCGUUACCGCCGACCCAGGCGGCGAUAACGACUCUGACCGCACCGUACCAUGGCGGAGCAGGGCGACGGGUCCUUACCGCCGGCCCAGGCGGCGGAAGGGCGUUACCGCCGGCUGGGCUGGGGGUAACGUCAUGGGCCGGCGGGGUCAGGCCUUUACCGCCGGCUGAG
rnacentral:lncRNA from 1 species